UACAGAGGGUGCGAGCGUUGUCCGGAAUCACUGGGCGUAAAGGGCGCGUAGGUGGUUUGAUAAGGGUGUGGUGAAAGUCCGGAGCUCAACUCCGGAUCUGCCGUGCCGACUGUCAAACUCGAGGGCUGUAGAGGCAGACGGAAUUCCGGGUGUAGCGGUGGAAUGCGUAGAGAUCCGGAGGAAGACCGGUGGCGAAGGCGGUCUGCUGGGCAGUUUCUGACACUGAGGCGCGACAGCGUGGGGAGCAAACAGG
rnacentral:rRNA from 1 species